ACCACUUCCCAUCUAACGGAGUAGAUUUAGCUGAAUUCCCAUCUCUCUUCAUCAUAUACAAGUAAACAAAAGGAAUUAAACACGUAUCACUCAAAUCAGGUUAUCUUAUAUAAAUCGGGCAUCCAAUUACAUUUGAGAACCAUCAAGUAAAUUUUAUAAGUUUCAGACAUCCAUCCAAGGAAUAAAGCAGCACAAUCUCUCGAGCCUGGCGAAGGCGAAAGCUCUUAGGCGGCCACUGCGAAUGUUUUUGAGAAACAAGCCUUUGAAUUUGUCAUCAUCAACACAUUUACAUCAAUUUAAAAACUCCUUUUCACCGAAUAUAACUGGAUUUCAAUCACAAAUUAUAUUUAAAAUGUGAAACAAUUAUAAAGGUAUAAUAAAAGGUCUCAGACAUCCAAGGAAGGAUAAAAGCAGCACAAGCUCUCAAGCCCGGCGAAAAGCGAAAGCUCUCAGGCGGCCACUGCGAAUGUUUUGAGAAACAAGCCUUACAACUUAUCAUCAUAAACCCAUACACAUGAAAUAUAUUAUCAUUUGACUCAAUUUUAAGAAUAUCGAUUAUCAAUGGAACUGAAAAAAAAGGGAAAAAUAUACAACCAGAUUUCUGAGAAAAUAAUUGGAUUUUCACGCGCAAAUAAUGAAAAACAACUAUAUACAAGUCAUACAAGGUCUCAGACAUCCAAGGAAGGAAUGAAGCAGCACAAGCUCUCAAGCCCGGCGAAAGGCGAAAGCUCUUAGGCGGCCACUGCGAAUGUUUUGAGAAACAAGCCUUUGGAUUAUCAUCAUAAACCCAUACACAACAAAUAUAUUUUCCUUUGACUGAAUUUUAAGAAUAUCGUUUAUCAAUUGAACUGAAUAAAAAAAAGGGGGGAAAAAUGUACAACCAGAUUUCUGAGGAAGUGACUGGGUUUUCAAGCACAAAUAAUGAAAACAACAAUCAUAUAGAAGUCAUAAAAGGUCUCAGACAUCCAAGGAAGGAAGGAAGCAGCACAAGCUCUCAAGCCCGGCGAAAGGCGAAAGCUCUUAGACGGCCACUGCGAAUGUUUUGAGAAACAAGCCUUACAACUUAUCAUCAUCGACUUUAUAUUUGAUUUCGUAACGUAGCAAGUAAAACACUACAUGGCAACUGACUUCACACAACACCCCAAAAUUAUGCAUUCAAUUAUCAUCUUGCAAAUAAAAAUAUCUAAAAAUAAGGCAGCAAAAGCAACAAACAAACAGAGCCUAAACAGAGAUGCUCGAUCAUUGAAAAUUUGAAACAAUGAAGCAUAAAAUAAGUUGAUGACUAGUAAAAAUCAGAUUUAAUUAACAUAAAAGAAAAACAUAUUCAUACUACGGGGUUAAAAAAAGUCUCAGACAUCCAAGGAAGGAGCAAAACAGCAGAAGCUCUCAAGCCCGGCGAAAGGCGAAAGCUCUCAGGCGGCCACUGCGAAUGUUUCUGAGAAACAAGCCUUUGAUUUAUCAUCAUCGACACAAUUCAUUCCAAACAAACUAAGCUAAAACCAUUUCCAAAUAAAAAAAAAUUAAAAAGGAAUAAACCUAUACUGAAAGGUCGAUAGUUUUGGGGCUGAUGCGAGAAGAGUAUGAGUAGAAGGGUUUAUAAAGAGGACUGGGGUUAGGGUUUGUAGCCGUUUCUAUGAAUUAGGGUUUUUACCUGAUGGAAGGGGUUUCUCUUAUUACAAGUUUCUCUAAUUUGGGCUUUAUUAAAUUAAGAACGUUAUUUUAUGGGCUUCUCGA
rnacentral:lncRNA from 1 species